AUUGAACGCUGGCGGCAGGCUUUACACAUGCAAGUCGAACGAGUGGCUGACGGGUGAGUAAUGUCUGGGAACCUGCCUCUUGGAGGGGGAUAACUACUUGAAAAGGUGGCUAAUACCGCAUACCAUCGGAGGGGCCAAUAUGGGAUUAGCUAGUUGGUGGGGUAAAGGCUCACCUCGGCGACGAUCCCUAGCUGGUGUGAGAGGAUGACAAGCUACACUGUAACUGAGAUACGGUCCAGCGUCCUACGGGAGGCAGCAGUGGGGAAUUUUGGACAAGGGGCGCAAGCCUGAUGCAGCCAUGCCGCGUGUAUGAAGCAGGCCUUCGGGUUGUAAAGUACUUUUAGCGGAGAAGCGGUACCCGCAGAAAAUGCACCGGCUAACUCCGUGCCAGCAGCCGCGGUAAUAC
rnacentral:rRNA from 1 species